UUUUCAUCCAACUUUUGACAGUUCUAGAGGGUUUUUCUUAAGGAGAGAAAGAGUAACUUUUCGCUUCCAUCGCCCAUAGGAAACAUUUUCGUGAACUCGUGUGUUACCAUCAAGACAACGCCUACUCCGCCAAACAUACACGCUCAUUUAUCUUUAACCAUUUAUGGUUCUUAAAUAACCAUUUUAUGGGUUUGGCUUCAAAACCACCAAUAUGGUUAUUUUUUAAUAAUUUUUCAAGAAUUUUUUUUAACCAUUUUAAUAGUUCUCGAUAGCUAACCACAAAAUGCUUAGAAAAUUUCACCGCCAUUUUGAAAGUGAUAGAUUCUGAAGACGGUUGCGGUUUCCAAGAGGAAACAUACUUCAUCAUUUAUCGCUAAAUAGCGCAAAUCAAAUUCACAAGGCGAACUGAACUACUGAAGGAUGCCGAAAUCUAAGGGAUCCUCGAUAAUCGGGAGCUUGGAGAGUCGUUUUCCGUACUGCCCGGAAGAAGCUGAAGCACCCAAAAUAACACCCAACAACCGACCGUUGUGGAACGCAUAUAUUCCUUCGCAGACAAAACAUUCUGGUCUAGAUUUGCUGCAACAGGAACCUCCCAGCUGAAAUUUUGAAACACAACACAACAACUGAUGAAUUAUCCGAAACACUCCGGAUAUGAAUUCUAUCACAACAACUCUACCAUGUACUAGGUGACACUGGCAGGGGCAGGUUUACCUAAGAAUCGAUCCAGAAACGUUCAAUCGAUAUGGCACCAUAUCCACAGGAACGCCCCAAAAUGGAGGCACAAAAGUCGGCACAGAUUCGUUCGUACUCCCGAUGACGGAAUUUACAAUCGCAAUUUCAUCGUAGGAAUUCUUCCGGUAGUUGAUUGUAAUGAUCUGCGAACAAUCUAUACCUGCCACGACUGCUCCUUUUACGGUACUCUCGGUUCAUGUUGCCGAACACCAUCCUACGGAAACGGAAACGGCAACUGCACAAUUGUGAAGAAUGCUGCAUUCAAUCCACACUGCAACGAGACGGAUCUGGACAGCUACCUGCGAAACGUGCACGUGCACGUGCAUUAAUACAAUACGGCCGAUUGUUCAAUCUGUUUUGAAACGGUUUCCCGGCACUGCACCUGAGAAGCGGCACAUAUAAUGUCGGAACGUAUUUCCAACUUCCUUUCUUCGAAAAUGUAUUCCCAGUUUCGGUAGAACAUUAAAUGUUAAGAUUAAACUUUUUUUUAAACAGAUUACCAUAUAUUCCCUGUAAAAUAUAUUUUAAUAUAGUGUACUGGUUUUAAUAAAAAAGAAUACUACAAACCGGAGAUUUAAUUGAAAAUGUUCCUAAAAAUUCUUCCAAAUCUGCAAAUUACAAAGCAGCUCGUAAACACAAAGCUGCUCUUAAAAAAACGGUUAAAGAAUAACCUUUUUUCAACUUCUCCGCUAGAAUCCCAUUCGGUUGAAAAAUAACCAUAUUCGAACUUCUC